rnacentral:lncRNA from 1 species
GUGCAGGGAUGAACGAAUCAGAAAGACGUGCUGAAGGAUCUGCUGUCUGAUGACAGAAAUAGGGAGCUGAAGAUGAUGCCAGAGUUGAUCUUGAAACUAUACCAGGAGAGCCUUUCUUCUGUCUGCUUCAUACGGUCCCUCCACUCUCAUUCUCCAAUAGGAAGCUCCGUGUGUUGUCCUGGGAUCUCGUCCUCAUUUCUUGAAGAGACGGACUGCAUUUCCCGCAGCCUCAAGUAACUUUUCUUCUGCUCUCCUUCAUCUGAGAGAAGCUUAUAGUGUUCUUCUUGGAAAACCACAUGAAACAAGGU